UUCGAUUGUGCCAGCAGCCGCGGUAAGACGGAGGAUGCAAGCGUUAUCCGGAAUUAUUGGGCGUAAAGCGUCCGCAGGUGGCCAUUCAAGUCUGCUGUCAAAGAGCGAGGCUCAACCUUGUACAGGCAGUGGAAACUGAAAGACUAGAGUUCGGUAGGGGUAGAGGGAAUUCCAGGUGUAGCGGUGAAAUGCGUAGAUAUCUGGAAGAACACCGAUUGCGAAGGCAGCUUGCUAUGUCAUUAUUGACGCUGAGGCACGAAAGCGUGGGGAUCAAACAGGAUUAGAUACCCUGGUAGUCCACGCCCUAAACGAUGGAUACUCGACAUCAGCGAUACACAGUUGGUGUCUGAGCGAAAGCAUUAAGUAUCCCACCUGGGAAGUACUCCGCAAGGAU
rnacentral:rRNA from 1 species